GAUGAACGCUGGCGGCGUGCCUAAUACAUGCAAGUCGAGCGAACAGAUGAGGAGCUUGCUCCUCUGACGUUAGCGGCGGACGGGUGAGUAACACGUGGAUAACCUACCUAUAAGACUGGGAUAACUUCGGGAAACCGGAGCUAAUACCGGAUAAUAUAUUGAACCGCAUGGUUCAAUAGUGAAAGACGGUUUUGCUGUCACUUAUAGAUGGAUCCGCGCCGCAUUAGCUAGUUGGUAAGGUAACGGCUUACCAAGGCAACGAUGCGUAGCCGACCUGAGAGGGUGAUCGGCCACACUGGAACUGAGACACGGUCCAGACGCCUACGGGAGGCAGCAGUAGGGAAUCUUCCGCAAUGGGCGAAAGCCUGACGGAGCAACGCCGCGUGAGUGAUGAAGGUCUUCGGAUCGUAAAACUCUGUUAUUAGGGAAGAACAAAUGUGUAAGUAACGAUGCACGUCUUGACGGUACCUAAUCAGAAAGCCACGGCUAACUACGUG
rnacentral:rRNA from 1 species